GUGGGGAAUAUUGGACAAUGGGCGAAAGCCUGAUCCAGCCAUGCCGCGUGUGUGAAGAAGGUCUUCGGAUUGUAAAGCACUUUAAGUUGGGAGGAAGGGCAGUAAGUUAAUACCUUGCUGUUUUGACGUUACCGACAGAAUAAGCACCGGCUAACUUCGUGCCAGCAGCCGCGGUAAUACGAAGGGUGCAAGCGUUAAUCGGAAUUACUGGGCGUAAAGCGCGCGUAGGUGGUUUUGUAAGUGGGAGGUGAAAUCCCCGGGCUCAACCUGGGAACUGCCUCCAAAACUGCAUGACUAGAGUACGGUAGAGGGUAGUGGAAUGUCCUGUGUAGCGGUGAAAUGCGUAGAUAUAGGAAGGAACACCAGUGGCGAAGGCGACUACCUGGACUGAUACUGACACUGAGGUGCGAAAGCGUGGGGAGCAAACAGGAUUAGAUACCCCGGUAGUCC
rnacentral:rRNA from 1 species